UGGAUAGUGAAGAUCAAUUGAUGCAUAAUCCAACACUUGAUCCGAUGCCGGCAUGUGCCGUGCGAAUGAUGCACAAACUUCUUUGCAUCUGAAUCCAU